GGGGAAUAUUGCGCAAUGGGGGGAACCCUGACGCAGCAACGCCGCGUGAAUGAAGAAGGCCUUCGGGUUGUAAAAUUCUGUCAAGAGGGAAGAAGGCUCUUUGCUUAAUAUGUAAAGAGAUGACAGUACCGAUAGAGGAAGCUCCGGCUAACUACGUGCCAGCAGCCGCGGUAAUACGUAGGGAGCAAGCGUUGUCCGGAAUUACUGGGCGUAAAGGGCGUGUAGGCGGCUAGACAAGUUGGAAGUGAAAACCAUGGGCUCAACCCAUGGCGUGCUAUCAAAACUGUCUAGCUUGAGGAUAAGAGAGGAAAGUGGAAUUCCUAGUGUAGCGGUGAAAUGCGUAGAUAUUAGGAGGAACACCAGUGGCGAAGGCGACUUUCUGGCUUAUCACUGACGCUGAGGCGCGAAAGCGUGGGGAGCAAAC
rnacentral:rRNA from 1 species